GACACGUGGGCGGCGUGCUAUACAUGCAAGUCGAACGAACUCUGGUAUUGAUUGGUGCUUGCAUCAUGAUUUACAUUUGAGUGAGUGGCGAACUGGUGAGUAACACGUGGGAAACCUGCCCAGAAGCAGGGGGAUAACACCUGGAAACAGAUGCUAAUACCGCAUAACAACUUGGACCGCAUGGUCCGAGUUUGAAAGAUGGCUUCGGCUAUCACUUUUGGAUGGUCCCGCGGCGUAUUAGCUAGAUGGUGGGGUAACGGCUCACCAUGGCAAUGAUACGUAGCCGACCUGAGAGGGUAAUCGGCCACAUUGGGACUGAGACACGGCCCAAACUCCUACGGGAGGCAGCAGUAGGGAAUCUUCCACAAUGGACGAAAGUCUGAUGGAGCAACGCCGCGUGAGUGAAGAAGGGUUUCGGCUCGUAAAACUCUGUUGUUAAAGAAGAACAUAUCUGAGAGUAACUGUUCAGGUAUUGACGGUAUUUAACCAGAAAGCCACGGCUAACUACGUGCCAGCAGCCGCGGUAAUACGUAGGUGGCAAGCGUUGUCCGGAUUUAUUGGGCGUAAAGCGAGCGCAGGCGGUUUUUUAAGUCUGAUGUGAAAGCCUUCGGCUCAACCGAAGAAGUGCAUCGGAAACUGGGAAACUUGAGUGCAGAAGAGGACAGUGGAACUCCAUGUGUAGCGGUGAAAUGCGUAGAUAUAUGGAAGAACACCAGUGGCGAAGGCGGCUGUCUGGUCUGUAACUGACGCUGAGGCUCGAAAGUAUGGGUAGCAAACAGGAUUAGAUACCCUGGUAGUCCAUACCGUAAACGAUGAAUGCUAAGUGUUGGAGGGUUUCCGCCCUUCAGUGCUGCAGCUAACGCAUUAAGCAUUCCGCCUGGGGAGUACGGCCGCAAGGCUGAAACUCAAAGGAAUUGACGGGGGCCCGCACAAGCGGUGGAGCAUGUGGUUUAAUUCGAAGCUACGCGAAGAACCUUACCAGGUCUUGACAUACUAUGCAAAUCUAAGAGAUUAGACGUUCCCUUCGGGGACAUGGAUACAGGUGGUGCAUGGUUGUCGUCAGCUCGUGUCGUGAGAUGUUGGGUUAAGUCCCGCAACGAGCGCAACCCUUAUUAUCAGUUGCCAGCAUUAAGUUGGGCACUCUGGUGAGACUGCCGGUGACAAACCGGAGGAAGGUGGGGAUGACGUCAAAUCAUCAUGCCCCUUAUGACCUGGGCUACACACGUGCUACAAUGGAUGGUACAACGAGUUGCGAACUCGCGAGAGUAAGCUAAUCUCUUAAAGCCAUUCUCAGUUCGGAUUGUAGGCUGCAACUCGCCUACAUGAAGUCGGAAUCGCUAGUAAUCGCGGAUCAGCAUGCCGCGGUGAAUACGUUCCCGGGCCUUGUACACACCGCCCGUCACACCAUGAGAGUUUGUAACACCCAAAGUCGGUGGGGUAACCUUUUAGGAACCAGCCGCCUAAGGUGGACCAGGGGAUG
rnacentral:rRNA from 1 species